ACAGGGAGAAGAAUGAAAAAGCCGCCAGGGCCGAGGUGUAAGGCAUGGUUGUCUUUCUGGUUCUAGCGGCCCAUCCCUGCUCCUCCAGGCAGAGGAGCUGGACCAGAGGUUUCUAGAGUGGGCAUUGCUGCCCCCAAGGCAAAGGACACCCUCUCCGUGGCUGAGGACUCUGGCCCGAGUUGAAAAGCCUUUAAUUGGGCUCUGACAUCUCCAUUCCCUGAGAGCAUAGUCGUCAAUCCUCUCGGCAGACAGGCCGGCCACAAGCCCAGUUUCAGAGAGCAGGCCCGGGCUGGCCUGGGCCCAGAGGACCGAGGGGGAUCUGCUGCCAAUCGACGGCGAGGACACCAGCCUCAGAGCACCCCAGCGACUUGAGCUCACAGAGGCCAGGCCAGAACUCUGCCAGUCCAGAGGGUGGAAGCCCAGCAUUCUCAGGACCUAGAAUCUAUCUGAAAAACUGAGGGCAGGAGGAGACGGGGCAAAAGAGGGUGAGAUGGUUGGAUGGAAUCACCAGCUCAAUGGACAUGAAUUUGAGCAAACUCCGGGAGAUGGUGGAAGACAGGGAAGCCUGGCGUGCUGCAGUCCAUGGGGUUGCAAAGAGCUGAACGUGACUGAGCGACUGAACAACAAAAACAUGCCCUGGACUGGAGUCAGACAGCCCUGGGUUCGAGAACUUGGUCAGCUGGGGAACCUCCAACGAGCCCUGGACCCCUCUGCACAGGGCCUCUGGUCUGUAAGAUGCUAACAGCUCCCUGCAGGCUUGUGAAGAUUGCUAAAACUAUCCUCCCAAGCCUGCAGCAUGGGCUCCGAGCAUGUUAAUCCCCUUCCCACAUUUCUUUUCUGCUUUUUCCUCUCUUAGAUUUUUCUCUUUCCUUAUCUCUUUGACCUUUCUUCACCUCUAAAUCUCUUCUCAGCACUUUUCUCAGUCCCUCAGGCUGCUUUCUUUUCUCCUUUCCACAAGUCAGACCACAGAGGCAGGGAGGCUGGAAGGAAAGCCUCAUACCUGAGACCAUGGAGGCCCGGUGCUCACAGGCCUGAGAGUGCUGGCCUUCGCUGGGCUCCCAGCUCCAGAGCAGAUCCUGGUACUCACCUCAGCUCCUCUUACACUUUCCCUCUUGGAGGCUUCUUCCUGGCCAAGAACAGGAGGGACAGGAGAAAGCAGGACGAGACAGGGAACAGAGGUGGUAGUCCCCCCCAGCCACCCCUCAGCCUGGCAAACAGACAGCAGAGGCUAUAGGAAAUAAACACGACACUAGUUAAGUAAUGGAGUAAUGGGGUGCUUCGGUGCAACUGCUCCCCUCCCUGUAACUCCCUGUCACAUCCCAGUGCAGAAAGAAGUCCUUCCUCAGAUCUAACUUAUACCUUCCUGCUGCACUUCCUGCCUACUUCCUUUUGGUCCAUGUGGAUAAUGCUGGGCUCAUCACCCCUCUAACGGGCACCUCCUCACUAGGCCUUCUCCUCAAUUCCGUUCAGCUCAGGGGCCUGAGGGAGGGAAAGCAAACUUUAAGAGGAUGUUUAAAGUUUGGCUUCUCGUCACCACAUCUCAGCUGAGUCCAUAAAAUCGCCCUAUAAAGCCCACUGGCCAGCCAGCUGCCCUCAGCCUCAGGGGCCUCCCUGUUUCAUGAUUGGUCCCAAUUCAGACACCAGCUGGAUGUAGGAACUUGCUGGCUUUUAUGAAGAGAUGUUAACGAGAAGCAUCUCUUCCCUCCUGUCUUGUUCCCAGAAACUCCACUCCUUCCCUCACUCCUGGUGUUUUCAGUCAGUCACUGUUUGCCAAGCGCCUCCUGGAGCCAGGCUCUGGGUUGGGCCCUGGGGUGGGGGUGGUCACAGGUAAGAGCU
ensembl:lncRNA